rnacentral:rRNA from 1 species
UAGGAUGUUGGCUUAGAAGCAGCCAUCAUUUAAAGAGUGCGUAAUAGCUCACUAGUCGAGUGACACUGCGCCGAAAAUGUACCGGGGCUAAACAUAUUACCGAAGCUGUGGAUUGUCCUUUGGACAAUGGUAGGAGAGCGUUCUAAGGGCGUUGAAGCAUGAUCGUAAGGACAUGUGGAGCGCUUAGAAGUGAGAAUGCCGGUGUGAGUAGCGAAAGACGGGUGAGAAUCCCGUCCACCGAUUGACUAAGGUUUCCAGAGGAAGGCUCGUCCGCUCUGGGUUAGUCGGGUCCUAAGCUGAGGCCGACAGGCGUAGGCGAUGGAUAACAGGUUGAUAUUCCUGUACCACCUAUAAUCGUUUUAAUCGAUGGGGGGACGCAGUAGGAUAGGCGAAGCGUGCGAUUGGAUUGCACGUCUAAGCAGUAAGGCUGAGUAUUAGGCAAAUCCGGUACUCAUUAAGGCUGAGCUGUGAUGGGGAGAAGACAUUGUGUCUUCGAGUCGUUGAUUUCACACUGCCGAGAAAAGCCUCUAGAUAGAAAAUAGGUGCCCGUACCGCAAACCGACACAGGUAGUCAAGAUGAGAAUUCUAAGGUGAGCGAGCGAACUCUCGUUAA